rnacentral:snRNA from 1 species
GUGCUCGCUUCGGCAGCACAUAUACUAAAAUUGGAACAAUACAGAGAAGAUUAGUAUGGCCCCUGCAUAAGGAUGACUCGCAAAUUCCUGAAGCAUUCCAUAUUAAA